rnacentral:rRNA from 1 species
CUCCUACGGGAGGCAGCAGUGGGGAAUAUUGCACAAUGGGGGAAACCCUGAUGCAGCGACGCCGCGUGGGGGAAGAAGGUCUUCGGAUUGUAAACUCCUGUUGUUGAGGAAGAUAAUGACGGUACUCAACAAGGAAGUGACGGCUAACUACGUGCCAGCAGCCGCGGUAAAACGUAGGUCACAAGCGUUGUCCGGAAUUACUGGGUGUAAAGGGAGCGCAGGCGGGAGAACAAGUUGGAAGUGAAAUCCAUGGGCUCAACCCAUGAACUGCUUUCAAAACUGUUUUUCUUGAGUAGUGCAGAGGUAGGCGGAAUUCCCGGUGUAGCGGUGGAAUGCGUAGAUAUCGGGAGGAACACCAGUGGCGAAGGCGGCCUACUGGGCACCAACUGACGCUGAGGCUCGAAAGUGUGGGUAGCAAACAGGAUUAGAUACCCUGGUAGUCCACACCGUAAACGAUGAUUACUAGGUGUUGGAGGAUUGACCCCUUCAGUGCCGCAGUUAACACAAUAAGUAAUCCACCUGGGGAGUACGACCGCAAGGUUGAAACUCAAAGGAAUUGACGGGGGCCCGCACAAGCAGUGGAGUAUGUGGUUUAAUUCGACGCAACGCGAAGAACCUUACCAAGUCUUGACAUCCCUUGACGAACAUAGAAAUAUGUUUUCUCUUCGGAGCAAGGAGACAGGUGGUGCAUGGUUGUCGUCAGCUCGUGUCGUGAGAUGUUGGGUUAAGUCCCGCAACGAGCGCAACCCUUAUGGUCAGUUACUACGCAAGAGGACUCUGGCCAGACUGCCGUUGACAAAACGGAGGAAGGUGGGGAUGACGUCAAAUCAUCAUGCCCUUUAUGACUUGGGCUACACACGUGCUACAAUGGCGUAAACAAAGGGAAGCAAUCCCGCGAGGGGGAGCAAAUCUCAAAAAUAACGUCUCAGUUCGGACUGUAGUCUGCAACUCGACUACACGAAGCUGGAAUCGCUAGUAAUCGCGAAUCAGAAUGUCGCGGUGAAUACGUUCCCGGGUCUUGUACACACCGC